GGGGUUGUGGCUCAGUGGUAGAGCACUUGCGUAGCAAGUGGGAGGCCCUGGGUUUGAUUCUCAGCACCA
rnacentral:tRNA from 1 species